rnacentral:misc_RNA from 1 species
GUAGGUGAACCUGCGGAAGGAUCAUUAACACGUAUCCACGUUAUAACCCGAGAACUUUCUUAGGUAGCCUAGUUGAGAAAAGGCUUAAUCAGAUCUCUUCGGGGAACUGUUUAAGCUCUGCCCCCUCGGGGGCUAUGGACUAGACUCCUCCGAUUCUAAACUAGUUAAUUGCCUUCGGGCAGCUAAUUAGUUUAAACUCUCAGGGACAAAUCUCCUCGGAGAUGCGACCCUGAGGGUUACUCGAAACCCCUUUUUCUAAACUAAAGGCCGUCUCUUUGUAGACCGCUUUUAACCGAAUGCUGUACAACCCUUAGCAACGGAUAUCUUGGUUCUG